rfam:Triticum aestivum genome assembly, contig: Triticum_aestivum_CS42_TGACv1_scaffold_250804_3DL
CUAGGCUGUGAUGAUCAAAACACCUACCUAUUUUCUGAGGGAUCUCGACCCCCCUGCAGAGAAACCAAUUCAAACUUCUGAGCCUUCCA